AGGCUCGUAGCUCAGUGGGAGAGCGCUUGCUUGACACGCAAGAGGUCGGCGGUUCGAAACCGCCCGAGCCUACCA
rnacentral:tRNA from 5 species